AUUGAACGCUGGCGGCAGGCCUAACACAUGCAAGUCGAACGGUAACAGGAAUCAGCUUGCUGAUUCGCUGACGAGUGGCGGACGGGUGAGUAAUGUCUGGGAAACUGCCUGAUGGAGGGGGAUAACUACUGGAAACGGUAGCUAAUACCGCAUAACGUCGCAAGACCAAAGAGGGGGACCUUCGGGCCUCUUGCCAUCGGAUGUGCCCAGAUGGGAUUAGCUAGUAGGUGGGGUAACGGCUCACCUAGGCGACGAUCCCUAGCUGGUCUGAGAGGAUGACCAGCCACACUGGAACUGAGACACGGUCCAGACUCCUACGGGAGGCAGCAGUGGGGAAUAUUGCACAAUGGGCGCAAGCCUGAUGCAGCCAUGCCGCGUGUAUGAAGAAGGCCUUCGGGUAGUAAAGUACUUUCAGCGAGGAGGAAGGUGUUGAGGUUAAUAACCUCAGCAAUUGACGUUACUCGCAGAAGAAGCACCGGCUAACUCCGUGCCAGCAGCCGCGGUAA
rnacentral:rRNA from 1 species